GGGCGGAAGCCUGAUGCAGCGACGCCGCGUGAGGGAUGACGGCCUUCGGGUUGUAAACCUCUUUCAGUAGGGAAGAAGCGAGAGUGACGGUACCUGCAGAAGAAGCGCCGGCUAACUACGUGCCAGCAGCCGCGGUAAUACGUAGGGCGCAAGCGUUGUCCGGAAUUAUUGGGCGUAAAGAGCUCGUAGGCGGUUUGUCGCGUCUGCUGUGAAAGCCCGGGGCUCAACCCCGGGUCUGCAGUGGGUACGGGCAGACUAGAGUGCAGUAGGGGAGACUGGAAUUCCUGGUGUAGCGGUGAAAUGCGCAGAUAUCAGGAGGAACACCGAUGGCGAAGGCAGGUCUCUGGGCUGUUACUGACGCUGAGGAGCGAAAGCAUGGGGAGCGAACAGGAUUAGAUACCCUGGUAGUCCAUGCCGUAAACGUUGGGCACUAGGUGUGGGGGACAUUCCACGUUUUCCGCGCCGUAGCUAACGCAUUAAGUGCCCCGCCUGGGGAGUACGGCCGCAAGGCUAAAACUCAAAGGAAUUGACGGGGGCCCGCACAAGCGGCGGAGCAUGCGGAUUAAUUCGAUGCAACGCGAAGAACCUUACCAAGGCUUGACAUUCACCGGACCGCCCCAGAGAUGGGGUUUCCCUUCGGGGCUGGUGGACAGGUGGUGCAUGGUUGUCGUCAGCUCGUGUCGUGAGAUGUUGGGUUAAGUCCCGCAACGAGCGCAACCCUCGUUCUAUGUUGCCAGCACGUGAUGGUGGGGACUCAUAGGAGACUGCCGGGGUCAACUCGGAGGAAGGUGGGGAUGACG
rnacentral:rRNA from 1 species